GUGUGGCGUAGUGGACAGGACACCAGGCUGAUAACCUGGUGGUCGUAGGUUUGA
rnacentral:tRNA from 1 species